rnacentral:rRNA from 1 species
AUUGAACGCUGGCGGCAGGCCUAACACAUGCAAGUAGAACGAGUGGCGGACGGGUGAGUAAUGUCUGGGCAACUGCCUGCUGGAGGGGGAUAACUACUGGAAACGGUAGCUAAUACCGCAUACCAUCGGAUGUUCCCAGAUGGGAUUAGCUAGUAGGGGGGGUGAAGGCUCACCUAGGCGACGAUCCCUAGCGGGUCUGAGAGGAUGACCAGCCACACUGGAAGUGCGACCCGGUCCAGACUGCUACGGGAGGCAGCAGUGGUGAAUAGUGCACAAGGGGCGCAAGCCUUAUGCAGCCAUGCCGCGUGUAUGAAGAAGGCCUUCGGGGUGUAAAGUACUUUCAGCGGGGAGGCGUUACCCGCAGAAGAAGCACCGGCUAACUCCGUGACAGCCGCCGCGGUAAUUC